rnacentral:lncRNA from 1 species
GGAACACUGAGAACCUGAAUGGGAAAUUAAGAAGAACCAGAUUCUUUCUAUUCUUCCACCAGCCAAGUUUUGAAGAUUUGUUUUGAAUCUUGAAGAGAGAGCAGCAAGCCUUUUGGCCUAUGGAUUCUAAGAGUCACAUUCCAACAGGUGAUAUCAAAAGGACAAGGAAGCAGGGAGGGGUGACUUGCACGGAAGGUGCCCAGUGAGAUGUCUCUGCCAUGGAGAUUGUGCUGAUGCCACAAGCAAAGCGUUUGUACCCCUCUCAUCCACAAGAGAAGUCCCUCCGGGUAUUUCAGAUGAUACCUGAAAGGAUGAUAAGGCAGGGAAUCAGAGGCUGACACCGCUAUUGGAUGGACUGGGGGAGUGAAGACCAAAAGGUCAUUUUCAGGAAAAAAAUAAAUUAGGAAGUACAGGGAUAAGACAGAAGCCACCACCAAUAACUCCACACCUACAGCUCCAAAGCAUGUGAUUCAGAAGGAUCCUUGUUGAUAUUGGCCAUCACCUUGUGUCACAAUACCAGUGGCCGCAGAGAUUUAAAUAAAUGCAUCCCAGAUACAGAGUUAAAAGCAUGCCAACAAUGAGGGCUGUGUGGUUUGGAGAAGAGCAGAAGAGCACACUGCUUUCAGUCAGGCAGAGGCAGAUUAGAUUGCCUGCCACCUCCAGUGGGAUGGUGGCUCCGGACAGUCACUCACCUUCUCUAAAACCCACCU